rnacentral:rRNA from 1 species
GAACGCUGGCGGCGUGCUUAACACAUGCAAGUCGAGCGGAAAGGCCCUUCGGGGUACUCGAGCGGCGAACGGGUGAGUAACACGUGAGCAACCUGCCCUAGGCUUUGGGAUAACCCCGGGAAACCGGGGCUAAUACCGAAUAUGACCUGGCCUCGCAUGAGGUUUGGUGGAAAGUUUUUCGGCCUGGGAUGGGCUCGCGGCCUAUCAGCUUGUUGGUGGGGUGAUGGCCUACCAAGGCGACGACGGGUAGCCGGCCUGAGAGGGCGACCGGCCACACUGGGACUGAGACACGGCCCAGACUCCUACGGGAGGCAGCAGUGGGGAAUAUUGCACAAUGGGCGGAAGCCUGAUGCAGCGACGCCGCGUGAGGGAUGACGGCCUUCGGGUUGUAAACCUCUUUCAGCAGGGACGAAGCGUAAGUGACGGUACCUGCAGAAGAAGCGCCGGCCAACUACGUGCCAGCAGCCGCGGUAAGACGUAGGGCGCGAGCGUUGUCCGGAUUUAUUGGGCGUAAAGAGCUCGUAGGCGGC